UGGGGAAUUUUGGACAAUGGGCGAAAGCCUGAUCCAGCAAUGCCGCGUGUGUGAAGAAGGCCUUCGGGUUGUAAAGCACUUUUGUCCGGAAAGAAAUGGCUCUGGUUAAUACCUGGGGUCGAUGACGGUACCGGAAGAAUAAGGACCGGCUAACUACGUGCCAGCAGCCGCGGUAAUACGUAGGGUCCAAGCGUUAAUCGGAAUUACUGGGCGUAAAGCGUGCGCAGGCGGUUGUGCAAGACCGAUGUGAAAUCCCCGAGCUUAACUUGGGAAUUGCAUUGGUGACUGCACGGCUAGAGUGUGUCAGAGGGGGGUAGAAUUCCACGUGUAGCAGUGAAAUGCGUAGAGAUGUGGAGGAAUACCGAUGGCGAAGGCAGCCCCCUGGGAUAACACUGACGCUCCAUGCACGAAAGCGUGGGGAGCAAACAGGAUUAGAUACCCUGGUAGUCCACGCCCUAAACGAUGUCAACUAGUUG
rnacentral:rRNA from 1 species